AUUGAACGCUGGCGGCAGGCCUAACACAUGCAAGUCGAACGAGUGGCGGACGGGUGAGUAAUGUCUGGGAAACUGCCUGAUGGAGGGGGAUAACUACUGGAAACGGUAGCUAAUACCGCAUACCAUCGGAUGUGCACAGAUGGGAUUAGCUAGUAGGUGGGGUAACGGCUCACCUGGGCGACGAUCCCUAGCGGGUCUGAGAGGGUGACAAGACACACUGGAACUGAGACACGGUCCAGACUCCUACGGGAGGAAGCAGUGGGGAAUAUUGCACAAUGGGCGCAAGCCUGAUGCAGCCAGGCCGCGUGUAUGAAGAAGGCCUUCGGGUUGUAAAGUACUGUAAGCGGGGAGGCGUUACCCGCAGAAGAAGCACCGGCUAACUCCGUGCCAGCAGCCGCGGUAAUUC
rnacentral:rRNA from 1 species